rnacentral:rRNA from 1 species
UACGUAGGGUGCGAGCGUUAAUCGGAAUUACUGGGCGUAAAGCGCACGUAGGCGGCUUUGUAAGUUAGAGGUGAAAGCCCGGGGCUCAACUCCGGAAUUGCCUUUAAGACUGCAUCGCUUGAAUCCGGGAGAGGUGAGUGGAAUUCCGAGUGUAGAGGUGAAAUUCGUAGAUAUUCGGAAGAACACCAGUGGCGAAGGCGGCUCACUGGACCGGUAUUGACGCUGAGGUGCGAAAGCGUGGGGAGCAAACAGG